rnacentral:rRNA from 1 species
GAUGAACGCUGGCGGCGUGCCUAAUACAUGCAAGUCGAGCGAACAGACGAGGAGCUUGCUCCUCUGACGUUAGCGGCGGACGGGUGAGUAACACGUGGAUAACCUACCUAUAAGACUGGGAUAACUUCGGGAAACCGGAGCUAAUACCGGAUAAUAUAUUGAACCGCAUGGUUCAAUAGUGAAAGACGGUUUUGCUGUCACUUAUAGAUGGAUCCGCGCCGCAUUAGCUAGUUGGUAAGGUAACGACUUACCAAGGCAACGAUGCGUAGCCGACCUGAGAGGGUGAUCGGCCACACUGGAACUGAGACACGGUCCAGACUCCUACGGGAGGCAGCAGUAGGGAAUCUUCCGCAAUGGGCGAAAGCCUGACGGAGCAACGCCGCGUGAGUGAUGAAGGUCUUCGGAUCGUAAAAUUCUGUUAUUAGGGAAGAACAAAUGUGUAAGUAACUAUGCACGUCUUGACGGUACCUAAUCAGAAAGCCACGGCUAACUACGUG